rnacentral:rRNA from 1 species
AGCAGCCGCGGUAAUUCCAGCUCCAAUAGCGUAUAUUAAAGUUGUUGCAGUUAAAAAGCUCGUAGUUGAAUUUCGGGAUCAUCAGGUUGGUCGUGCCUCUGGUAUGUACUGAUUUCGAUGGUUCCUCCUUCUUGUAGAACCGUAAUGCCAUUAAUUUGGUGUUGCGGGAAAACAGGACUGUUACUUUGAAAAAAUUAGAGUGUUUAAAGCAGGCAAUCGCUUGGAUACAUUAGCAUGGAAUAAUGAAAUAGGACGUUUGAUCCUAUUUUGUUGGUUUCUAGGAUUGACGUAAUGAUUAAUAGGGAUAGUUGGGAGCAUUAGUAUUCAAUUGUCAGAGGUGAAAUUCUUGGAUUUAUUGAAGACUAACUACUGCGAAAGCAUUUGCCAAGGAUGUUUUCAUUAAUCAAGAACGAAAGUUAGGGGAUCGAAGACGAUCAGAUACCGUCGUAGUCUUAACCAUAAACUAUGCCGACUAGGGAUCGGAUGAUGUUAAUUUUUAAUGACUCAUUCGGCGCCUUAA